rnacentral:rRNA from 1 species
GGGGGAUAUUGCACAAUGGAGGAAACUCUGAUGCAGCGACGCCGCGUGAGGGAAGAAGGUUUUCGGAUUGUAAACCUCUGUCUUCGGGGACGAAACAAAUGACGGUACUCGAGGAGGAAGCCACGGCUAACUACGUGCCAGCAGCCGCGGUAAUACGUAGGGAGCAAGCGUUGUCCGGAUUUACUGGGUGUAAAGGGUGCGUAGGCGGCUCUGCAAGUCAGGUGUGAAAACUAUGGGCUUAACUCAUAGAUUGCACUUGAAACUGUGGAGCUUGAGUGAAGUAGAGGCAGGCGGAAUUCCCGGUGUAGCGGUGAAAUGCGUAGAGAUCGGGAGGAACACCAGUGGCGAAGGCGGCCUGCUGGGCUUUAACUGACGCUGAGGCACGAAAGCAUGGGUAGCAAACA